rnacentral:lncRNA from 1 species
GAGAGGCGAGAUAGUGAAGAGAAAGAUAGAGACAAGGGAAGAGAGAGAGGGGGAGAGAGAAAGAGAGAGAGAGACAGAGAGAGAGAAAUGAAGUAUGGGGAGAGAGAAACAGAGGCAGAGAUAGUGAAAGAGAGAGAUAUAGAAGCAGGGAGAGAGGAAUUGAGAGAGAAAAGACAGAGGGAGAGGGAAGAGAGAGUGAAUCAGGUAGACAGUGAAAGAGAAAGAUAGAGACAAAGGAGGGAGAGAGAGGAGAGACAGGGAGAAAGAGAGAGAUUGAGAAGAGAGAGAAACAGAGCAGAGAUAGUGAAAAAGAUAGAGACAGAGGCAGAGGGAGGGAGAGAGAAGAGAGAAACAGAGGCAAAGAUAGUGUAAGAGACAGAGAUGGAGGGAGAGAAAGAGAAAAGAGAGACAGAAAGAGAGAGGAAAGAGAAACAGAGGCAGAAAUAGUGAAAGAAAAAGACAGAAAGAAGGAGAGGGAGAGAAGAGAGAGGAGAGAGAGAUUGAGAGAGAGGGAAGAGAGAGAAACAGGCAGAGAGAGUGAAAGAGAGAGAGAGAGAGAGAGACAGGGACAGUGGGAAGAGAAAGAAACAGAGACAAAGACAGAGACAGAGACCGUGAAAGAGAGGCAGAGUGAGGAGAGAGAAAUAGAGACAGAGAGAGACAGAGAGUGAGAACAUAGGUGGGAAGAAGAAACGGGGAGGCAGGGAGGGAGACUGAGGGCAGGGAAUCAGUGCCUGCUCUCCCUCUUCUGAAACACACCAGGGAAAGCCCUUUGGGAAUUUACGACGGCAACAACAGGCUAUUGGAGCCACUAUUAUCAUUAUUUUUACAGAUGCUGUAAAAAACCUCAGCAAGUCUCCUGGGAAAUCUGAGUGUCUGUCUUGUGCCUGGGACUGUCUUAGAAGCUGGAGAUGCUGCCGUGAAUGAGACACACCAUCCCUGCCUUCAUGGACCGACUAGAAGCACCUUCUAGUCUUACUUUCUCAUUGAACAGAGGGGAUCUCAUGCAGAAUACCACAUCACAUUUAGUCAUCAUGUCUCAGACUUCUCUUGGCUGUGACAGUUUCACAGGCUUUGUUUUUGAUGACCUUGACGGUUUGGAGGAACAUUGCUCAGGAUCCUGAAAUCAACCAAGGCUGAGUCAGAUGGAUUUCGAUCAAUGGAACCCUUCCUCUCCAGCUCUGGCCACUCCUGGGUGCCCCUUGGGGUUCACUGUCAUGGCAACGGGUCUGUGGAGUGGUGUGGAAGCCGAUCGGGGAAGCUAGGCAGCCAGAACGCUGCCUGGCCUGCCGGCGCCACAGCCAAGGAGGGCGGCCACCUGAUUAAUGCCUGCCUGAUCCAUUGGCCUCAUCUCAGGCCACCCUGGUAGAAGCUUCUUGCUCAGGGAGGGAUGGAGCGUCACUCCUUGGGAUGUGCCAGGACCCUGGUCAGUGGGCACAGUUACAGGUGCCGCAGAGUCUUAGAACUGCCCAAGCAAAAUAUCAGAGCUGAAAGGGACCCUGGAGAUUUGGUAUUCCAGGCGCCUCUCUUUAUGGCUGAACAAAGAAUACAUGGGUAACGAAUGCUUACAGUGUGCCCAACACAGUAUGAAGCUCUUUCCCCACAGGUUAAUUUCUACAAUAACCCCGUGGAAUAAGUAUAAUUAUCCCCAUCAGGGAGGUAGAAACCAGGGCUCAGAGAUAUGAAAUAUUUUGUUCAUGACACACGACGUAUAUUUGCACCCAGGACUUUCCUGUUCCUAUGUUCUUUCUACCGUCUCACUUUACUGAUUGUUUGUCCAGUGCUCUGGAACUUACCUAUCUCAUCCCUGGCUGUAUUUCCUAUGCUUGCACAGUGCCUCACGUGUCUUAGGGUUUUGGUAAAAGAUUGUGGAAUAAAUGAAUUGCU